rnacentral:rRNA from 1 species
AGAGUUUGAUCAUGGCUCAGAUUGAACGCUGGCGGUAUGCUUAGCACAUGCAAGUCGAACGGUAACAGGCCUUCGGGCGCUGACGAGUGGCGGACGGGUGAGUAACGCGUAGGAAUCUGCCUCAUAGUGGGGGACAACGUGGGGAAACUCACGCUAAUACCGCAUACGCCCUACGGGGGAAAGCGGGGGAUCUUCGGACCUCGCGCUAUGAGAUGAGCCUGCGUUAGAUUAGCUAGUUGGUAGGGUAAAGGCCUACCAAGGCGACGAUCUAUAGCUGGUCUGAGAGGACGAUCAGCCACACUGGGACUGAGACACGGCCCAGACUCCUACGGGAGGCAGCAGUGGGGAAUAUUGGACAAUGGGCGCAAGCCUGAUCCAGCAAUACCGCGUGUGUGAAGAAGGCCUAGGGUUGUAAAGCACUUUCAAUUGGGAGGAAAACCUGCCGGUCAAUACCCGGCAGCUUGACAUUACCUUUAGAAGAAGCACCGGCUAACUCCGUG